AUGUUGACGUAGACAAGGAGUAGUAAUCAUAAUUUGGGUAACGAAGAGAGCUGACGGGUGGUGCAAGUCAGUCGAACAAGUAUGAUGAACUCGCCUUUGAGUUUUGAAAGUGAAAUGAGUAGCUUUCAACGGAUCACAACCGUUAUUUGUGUAGAGCGAAUGAAGAAUGACUGAUUCAUUAAUGUGGGUGGUACCGCGGGAUAUAUAAAACUCUCGUCCCUAAC
rnacentral:ncRNA from 1 species